UACGUAGGGUGCAAGCGUUGUCCGGAAUCAUUGGGCGUAAAGCGCGCGUAGGCGGCUUCGUAAGUCCGUUGUGAAAGUCAAAGGCUCAACCUUUGAAAGCCGAUGGAUACUGUGAAGCUAGAGUACGGAAGAGGCGAGUGGAAUUCCUGGUGUAGCGGUGGAAUGCGCAGAUAUCAGGAGGAACACCAAUAGCGAAGGCAGCUCGCUGGGACGUUACUGACACUGAGGCGCGAAAGCGUGGGGAGCGAACAGG
rnacentral:rRNA from 1 species